rnacentral:rRNA from 1 species
AUGAACGUUGGCGGCGUGUCUAAGGCAUGCAAGUCGAACGAUUCUUGGUUAGCAAUAAUUGAGAGUAGUGGCAAACGGGUGCGUAACACGUCGGUAAUCUACCCGAAGACGGGUACAACCUUGCGAAAGCAGGGCUAAUCCCCGAUAAGAAUGGGGGGACAUAAGUCAUUCCCAUUUAAAGAUUUAUCGCUUCGGGAGGAACCGGCGGCCUAUCAGCUUGUUGGUGAGGUAAUGGCCCACCAAGGCAAUGACGGGUAGCGGGUGUGAGAGCAUGACCCGCCUCACUGGGACUGAGACACUGCCCAGACUCCUACGGGAGGCUGCAGUCAAGAAUAUUCCCCAAUGCCCGAAAGGGUGAGGGAGCGACGCCGCGUGGCUGAUGAAGCCCUUCGGGGUGUAAAGGCCUUUUACAAGGGACGAAUUUGUGACGGUACCUUGUGAAUAAGAGGUUGCUAACUCUGU